GUCAGUAUGGCAGAGUGGUAAUGCGCCAGACUUGAAAUCUGGUUCCCUUUGGGAUCCUAGGUUCAAACCCUAGUGCUGACG